rnacentral:tRNA from 1 species
AGGGCGUGUUGCUUGUGAGUAUGGCGGAGUAUUUUGCAAAAAUACUUUAGGUAGUUGUGUACCCACGUCUUG